rnacentral:lncRNA from 1 species
GGUCCGCUACGACUCCCUAACAUCAAAACCAAGGCAUCCCGAACGCUCGGCUCCUAAAACAGUUAUCAAACCACGUCUCAGAACUCUUAUCCAUAGAAUAUGAAAUUCACAUAACACAUAGCCACAAGGGCAUUCAAGAAUAAUGCGAGACCCUUUGAUCAAAGGUCAACCGUCGACUAAGUUCGACAGUAGGGUCAUAAACCCACAUAACUCAAUCCGAAAGAUCCACAACUCAGAUUUCCGAUCCGUCACUCCCCAACAUACACAUUAAGCCUCUAGAACAAUAUACUAAAAUUUUGUUACAAUCUGACGGUUGGAUAUCCGCCAAUUUCCAAGACUAAGUGGCGGUUAACCUUUUAUUUUAUGAACUUACAAAUCCAAUUCGGGAAGAUCCGUCCAUCGAAUUCCCGAUCCGUAAGUUCCCACAUUCUUCAAAUAUUAUGUACUACUACAUAUCAAAGUUUGGUGAAGAUCCGACGGUUGGAUCUUCGAUUCACCUUUUGGCCUAACCAUGAAUCGUAUCGAAUUUAAGUCCAAAUGAUCAACCAACGACAAAACACUAUCAAAACUGAAUUUAGGAUAUCAAACAUAGCCUAAAAAUAACAUUGACGGUCCACUGGCCAUGCGCCGCCGCACGCGCCGCCGUGGGUGGCGGUCGGCCGCCCCGGCUCGCCGGAAAAUUCAACUAUUUUAAAAAAUUACCAAAAUUUAUAGAAAUGAAGAUCUCAAUUAGUAGAGAAACUUUCAUACCUGUGGCCAAGGCCAAUUCGGUCGUCAAGGCCUCCAAUUUCAACAAAAUCCGUCAGAAACCCUAGGUUUUUAGGUGUGCUCAAUCCGUCCUCAAAUCAACCCCGUCGUCCCAACCAUUGCUUGGGCUUUGUUCUAGGCCUCAAUAUGAUGCCAUGGGUGGUGGCAAUUGAAAGAAAUCAUUUCAGAAUUGAGAGAAUCGAAGGCUAGGGUUCAUCGCACCCACCGGUGUGAUUUUGCUAAUUUGGAGGCCAAUUAUCACCAAAUUUGGGGUGGGAAGGAUAAAGGAUAGGUCCUAGAGUGUUUCCCGAGUGGUUAGGCGGUUCAAUUCGACUGAAAAAUGGGUGGAAACGCACCAGAAACAGCAAGAGAUCCCGACCGGGUCGGGUUGCACACCCACGGGUCAGGGAUCCCCCGCACCUCCUUUCCCUCCUUUCUCUGAAUUCUGAUUGGUCCUUCCCUUUUCUCACUGUUCCGAUUGGUCCAUUUCCUCCCUCCUUGGUUGGGCAGACAAUCCUCCUUCUUUCUUUUGUUUCUGAUUAGG